AUAUGCUCUAUGAUGAAUUGAAUAGUUAUCCCUGUCUGAUGUUAUUAAUGAGAGAUAACCAUGUUCUGAGGCAUAU